rnacentral:rRNA from 1 species
CAGCCGCCGCGGUAACACAGAGGGUGCGAGCGUUAAUCGGAUUUACUGGGCGUAAAGCGUGCGUAGGCGGCUAAUUGAGUCGGAUGUGAAAUCCCCGAGCUUAACUUGGGAAUUGCAUUCGAUACUGGUUAGCUAGAGUGUGGGAGAGGAUGGUAGAAUUCCAGGUGUAGCGGUGAAAUGCGUAGAGAUCUGGAGGAAUACCGAUGGCGAAGACAGCCAUCUGGCCUAACACUGACGCUGAGGUACGAAAGCAUGGGGAGCAAACAGGAUUAGAUACCCCAGUAGUCCCUGUCUCUUAUCA